CUACGGGUUGCAGCAGUGAGGAAUAUUGGUCAAUGGGCGCAAGCCUGAACCAGCCAUGCCGCGUGAAGGAUGAAGGCCUUAUGGGUUGUAAACUUCUUUUAUACGGGAAUAAACUUAGCUAUGUAUAGCUAACUGCAGGUACCGUAAGAAUAAGCACCGGCUAACUCCGUGCCAGCAGCCGCGGUAAUACGGAGGGUGCAAGCGUUAUCGGAUUUAUUGGGUUUAAAGGGUCCGCAGGCGGACUAAUAAGUCAGUGGUGAAAUCUCUCGGCUCAACCGAGAAACUGCCAUUGAUACUGUUAGUCUAGAGUGUAGUUGGCGUAGGCGGAAUGUAUCAUGUAGCGGUGAAAUGCUUAGAUAUGAUACAGAACACCGAUCGCGAAGGCAGCUUACGAAACUACAACUGACGCUCAGGGACGAAAGCGUGGGAAGCGAACAGGAUUAGAUACCCUAGUAGUC
rnacentral:rRNA from 1 species